GUCAGUUGGUCACUCUGCGAGGGGUGAGACGCGCAUCGGUGAUCGGAAUAAUUGUAACGUGUUGGGGUUACGUUGAUUGUUCACUCGGAACUGAUUUUGUUUUUUAAUGGAUAAGGAGAAAUCGUAUUUUCUGGGGAGAAAAGUCGAUGUUCAUGUUGAAAAUUAAUUUUAAAAAGGGAUAAAGUGAGAUGUUUAUUAAUCUGGUUAAUGAAGUAGUUAUCGCGAAGUUGUAAAGUCCACUGGGAAGUGAUUGGUUGAUGGUUUGAGGCUGAUUGUUGGUAGGGAAUUGAAGGACUGAUGGUGUGAUAUUUUUUAGUUUAAUGGUGUUGAUUAUUGGGUUGGGGUUGAGCGGGAUUAGAUAUUGAAAAGCGUCGGCCAUUGCGAAUUUACCGACGGCUGCAGAGCCGCUUUUCCAAUGGAUCCCAUCGUGCUCGACAGCACGGGUCUGACCUCUCAGCAACAAUCGCCGCAUCAUCAACAGUCCCAGCAAAAUCCUCAACAAUACGGCGAGGUAAAUCAACUCGGUGGUGUCUUCGUCAAUGGUAGACCACUACCCAAUGCUGUACGUCUCCGAAUUGUUGAACUGGCCCAAUUAGGUAUCCGGCCAUGUGACAUAUCCCGUCAACUUCGUGUGAGUCAUGGAUGCGUUUCCAAGAUCCUGGCACGUUAUCACGAGACCGGAAGUAUUCUUCCAGGUGCCAUAGGCGGUAGCAAACCCCGUGUUACAACACCCAAAGUCGUUCAGUACAUUAAACAAUUGAAAUUAAAAGAUCCAGGAAUCUUUGCGUGGGAGAUAAGAGAUCGAUUGUUGUCUGAUGGAGUCUGUGAUAAGUAUAACGUACCCUCGGUCUCAAGUAUAUCGAGAAUCCUGAGAAAUAAAGUUGGGGCUGCUGCUGCAGCAGCAGCAGCCGCUGCUGCCAUUCAUCAUCAUCCGCAUCAUCCUCACCACCACCAUCAUCAUCACCAUCUCUAUGCAGCAGCAGCCGUUGCAGGAGCUGCAUUGUGUCCUGUACCGUACCCCUCAGCACCUUAUCAUCCAUCUCCGGCAGCGGUAACGCAUCAUCAUCAUCAUCAAGUGAACUCAUUACCUCAUGGAUUUCCAGUGGGACUCACUCCAUCGAUGGGCAAUAAAAUGUCACCAUCACCACCUACACCAACUUCAGUUGGUCAUCAAAAUGGAUUAACACCAGUUGCACUAUCUUGGCCAAGUUCCCAUACUGUACAUGAUAUUCUGGCAACCGGAAUUCCAACUCUACCAACGAAUUCAUCGUCAUCGUCGCUAUGCCAAGCUACUCAUCAUCAUCAUCAUCGAGGUAUCAGCAACGACAAUCAGGGAAAUAGUAACGAACACGAGAUUUUUGUUGCUUUCGUGAGUGAGAACCUUUGAAAUUUGAUAACCAAAGUCUACUCCACCCAUCGCAGGCCAUUUCGUCAGAGUUGGGUAGUCAAAAAGGCGAAUGACUACAAAUCCUCGAAUGUGUCGACGUAUUUACGGGAAGAGCGCGUCAAUUUUCACUCACACCCGGCUCUUUUCAAUUUUAUAACUAAAAUUGUAGAAGUUGGUGGAACAUAUGCAACGUCACUACUUUCUCGGGACAUUUUGUGGCUCGGUUGCUGAAUGUUCUUCGGUCGAUUAACAUGAGCAAGACCGUGGUGAAGGAGGGACCAAUAAAUUUAGAAAACAGUUACUUUAGUCAACAGUCAUCCAGACGACAAGAAAUCAUUGGAUUUGACAACUGAGUGAAGCCCCGAUUCUUCAAAUACUGAUUCUAACAACAAAAUUUAUUGAUUUUAUCUGUGGAAUCCCAUACGGUACUGGUGACAGUCUCGUCUCUGUGCAAUAAAAAUUUGAUGACUUGAAGAAGUCACUGUUAGGACCCGGACAUAUCGGUCGGAGAACCACCCGAUGCAUUAUGGGAAGGUUCCGGGUUCGAAUCGCGGUCGAGACUAUCCACUUUUUCAGCAAAUUUUUCUUGUAAAAUUAUUUUCCCGGAUUAGAGAUUCUUGGAAAUAUUAAUUUUUGUUAUAUACGAAGGAGGGCGGGGCAGUACGGGCUCAUUAUUUAAAUAUGUGUAAAUAAAAAAUGAUAGACCUUGACAUUUUGUACUGCUGUUUAGUAAAUUUUACGAAGUCACAUAUCAGUAAUUAGAAAAUUAAUUACAAAAUUGAUGGUAUCGAUAAAAAUUUUUAUGUGUGAGCACAAGACAUUCUGUUGCAUUUCCAUUCCAGUGACCGGCACAGUAAUUUUUCACUUUUCUCUCCGUUAAAAAAACGUCACAAAAAUCUGUCGGAAAAAUGUCAGAAACCCCUUGAAACCUUUUUUCUCGAAUUUCAAAAUAAUUUACACUCAGUUCCUUACUUAUGUGUGCACGAGUCGACAUUGGGAUCCUCAGCAGUAAUAUCUAAACGCCGGGGGAGACAUGUCUCGCGACCGGGACAGCAGGGGCGUUCCGCCAUGCAAACGUGGAAUAUAGCCAAUGUGUCUGUGAGACGUCGGUGUUUCAGUCGUUGAAAAAACGAUAACUGAGAGUUGAGAAAAAAAACAAUCUCGACCUUAAAAAAAUCA